UAGUAAAGGUACAGUGUAACCCUAAAGUGAGGAUCAACUUUGGUCCUGGAGACAAAACAAAAUCUCCCGUGCCUCCCAAUCACGGUCUGGAAGCUGCAG